rnacentral:rRNA from 1 species
AUUCCAGCUCCAAUAGCGUAUAUUUAAGUUGUUGCAGUUAAAAAGCUCGUAGUUGGAUCUUGGGUCGUAAGGGUCGGUCCGCCUACCCGGUGUGCACCUGCCCUUCCGUCCCUUUUGUCGGCGGCGUGCUCCUGGCCUUAAUUGGCUGGGUCGUGGUUCCGGCGCUGUUACUUUGAAAAAAUUAGAGUGCUCAAAGCAAGCUUAUGCUCUGAAUACAUUAGCAUGGAAUAACGUGAUAGGAGUCUGGUCCUAUUGUGUUGGCCUUCGGGACCGGAGUAAUGAUUAAUAGGGACUGUCGGGGGCAUUUGUAUUUCAUUGUCAGAGGUGAAAUUCUUGGAUUUAUGAAAGACGGACCACUACGAAAGCAUUUGCCAAGGAUGUUUUCAUCA